ensembl:lncRNA
GUGGCAUCUUGGUAUUUUCCAUUUAUUCUGCAGGAUCCAUUUCUUUACUACAUUCAGAACUUCCUGGUGAGUUUAAAACCCAAGGAUCAGAGACCUCCAAAAGUGUUGCAGCUCUGGGAGUUCUGGGAGUGCCUUAAAUUGCUCAGACUUGUGUCUUCAGAGCACAGAGGCUCAGAAAUGAAAAUUUUGGAGUGGUGUCUUCAGAGUUUGAGGCCAACACUUUUUUUUUUGGUGCUUAUUUUGUAUAAACUCAGCACUUUCCACCUCAGCCAUGGUGCUCACACUGAGCUUUGGCUGAAGCAGUGACAUCACCCUUCUGAGGAAUUUUCCAACUCACAUUUUGGGUUCUGAACUUGCAAAAAAAGAAAAAAGUGUAGCUCUGUGCUAGAGCCUGGAAAUUAUUUUAUUCUGUUGUUAUUAUCUGAUGGAACUUAAUUCCUUAAAAACCUUGUCCCUGUUGAUAUCGGUCACCUGCAAUUUGUUUGCAGCGUUAUUCCAGUUGGAAAUCACAUUUCCCUGCGUUAUCAACCAUCCCAUGGAUUUGAGCUGCAGGCUGUGGUUCCUUCCCAGGCUCACUGGAUAGCUGGGAAGGAAGGAAUUAUUGGCCAUGAUUGGAUGCAGCUGGUUCAGCUCUCAGAAAAGCUGAAAAACUCUUCUGAAGGACUCUUCAAGAUGGUUUUGAUAAAUUCGAAGUUGGAGAGUUUUUAUUUGCUUUCCAUUAAAAAGCCAUAAAAGAGACGACUGCUCAUAUGUUGCAGGAGGAAUUCCUUUACCCUGUUGAGAGAUGGCAGAUGGAAAACCAGGAAUUUUAUGUUGCAGUGAUAGCCAGCAUGUUGUACAUGGUUGGAGACACAGGGAAGAUCCACACAAGCCUCACCUGCCCCGCUGCUGGAGCCUUGGAGCUGCUGUUUCACACCUGGAACACAAAACCCCACCAACAUUUUGGGGGAAAAAAACAAGACCUCGCUCCUUUGUUCCCUUCUUCACCUGCAAGGAUCCCCUACCUUUGGAUACAGAGCUCCAAAUUCUCCAGCAGGUCUUGACCAGCCGCCGCUCCUGCUGGGGCAGCCUGUGCCAAGCUGCGUUUCAGGGAAGAGUUUCUCCUCACCCUUCCACUGAUCCAAAAUAAAAAAGGGCAUUUCAUCACCAGCUAGGCCAGGAGUGAAGUUUGGAAGGUUCCAGCAGAGCCCCUGUGUCACCUGUCCUCAUGUCAAGGAGCGCUGGCUGCAGGAGUGGGAAUUAAUCCUGAAAACGUGGGCACAACCCCUUGUUAAAACCUCAGUGGCAAAGGGUCACUGCAACACCAAACCAGGGGCAGCCAGAGCACAAAAUUCUGAAAAAAGGAGGACAAAUUUCUGACUCUUACACCAAAUGAGCCCUUUGUGGGGAUGUUUUCCUGGUGCCAGCAUCACACACAUCCUAAAGGUAGAAAAAUAAUGCACAUCCUAAAGGUAGAAAAAUAAUGCACAUCCUAAAGGUACAAAAAUAAUGCACAUCCUAAAGGUAGAAAAAUAAUGCACAUCCUAAAGGUACAAAAAUAAUGCACAUCCUAAAGGUCCAGGGCACUGGGAGAGGGCCUGGUACCAGUCUGGGGGCUCCAGAAAAAAGAGCUCAUCCCCCAUGCUGGGAUGUGCCCAGUCCUGGUGAGUUUUGGG